AUUGAACGCUGGCGGCAGGCCUAACACAUGCAAGUCGAACGGUAACAGGAAGCAGCUUGCUGCUUCGCUGACGAGUGGCGGACGGGUGAGUAAUGUCUGGGAAACUGCCUGAUGGAGGGGGAUAACUACUGGAAACGGUAGCUAAUACCGCAUAACGUCGCAAGACCAAAGAGGGGGACCUUAGGGCCUCUUGCCAUCGGAUGUGCCCAGAUGGGAUUAGCUAGUAGGUGGGGUAACGGCUCACCUAGGCGACGAUCCCUAGCUGGUCUGAGAGGGUGACCAGCCACACUGGAACUGAGACACGGUCCAGACUCCUACGGGAGGCAGCAGUGGGGAAUAUUGCACAAUGGGCGCAAGCCUGAUGCAGCCAUGCCGCGUGUAUGAAGAAGGCCUUCGGGUUGUAAAGUACUUUCAGCGGGGAGGAAGGGAGUAAAGUUAAUACCUUUGCUCAUUGACGUUACCCGCAGAAGAAGCACCGGCUAACUCCGUG
rnacentral:rRNA from 1 species